UCUUGUACCAACUAGACUUGUGUGUGAAUUUCGUUUCCUCUGUUUCCUCUAUUUCCUUCGGUACCUUCAGUACUUUUUGGGGCACAUAAAGGUAAGGGCCCUCCUGGUAUGAAAAUCUGCCCGACACGAAAGCAAGUGGAAGCUGAUCUUGGCUCUUCCUCCCCUAUUCGGCAUUACAGUUCAAUCUUUUUGAUUCUUUAUUUUCCUGAUUCUUUUUAUCUAGUGGGGCUGACUAGGAAUUAAGUGCUUGGAGACAGUGAGUCACCCUUUUCCCUUCUUUUUCUCCUCCCCUUCAUCUCCUUCAGAAAAUACUUCUAAAAUAUAAUUAUUAUUAAUAAUAAUCCCAGCAAACAAAAGGAGAAGCAUACCUCUCUUCUAGAGUAGAAAGUAGAAACAGCUUUAAGGAAAUAUUAAACCAAAGGAGAAAGGAGAUUGCAGCCUUGCAGGCAAGUGAAGGAAUUUUAAGGUAGUUGUGAUGACUCAUGGGCCUUGUAGUCCUGUUCCUAGUACUAUUGUGGCAGACGAAGAGGAAAACAUGGGAUUUUCGCCGGUUCAGCAAGAGCCGGAGUCUCUUCACCUGCAGGAUGUUGAUGUUUGCCCUCAAGAAUUCAGCCAAACAGGCCUUGGGCAGAACUCCCCCCCGUUUUCCCGGAGGGACAAUUAUACCAAAGAUAGGGGAGUCAGGGAGGCUAAUCGCAGAAGCCUGAGAAUCGCUGCCAAACAAAUGGCUGAUUAGGUCUGCUUCCCUUGGGAAAUUCUAAGGAGUCAUGCAUCUGGACAGAGUUGGGUUUCGCUUCUCGUUCUCUAGGGAAAGAGUUCUGUUGGCGGGAAAACGAGACCCAAUAUAGGUGUUUGUCGCAAGGGAUACUUUGCGGAGUCAAUUGAUCAGCUUGAGGAGAGAGAUCAUGUGUGGACUUCAUAAUCCCAGUUCCUUGCUUCCCAGAUCAAGUUUCAAGCCUUGCCUUGUCUCAUGUUUUUACCACGGACUGUGUUUCAUGCUUCAUGUUCUUCUUGCCUCCAGUCAAGGAUCUAGUCGAGAAUCAAGUUAUUCCAGCCUUGUUGUCAAGCUUCAUUGGACUUAAAAGACUCUGUUAUUUCCCCACACUAUUGCUUGGCAAAGUGUGUGUUUCGGUCAAGUGGAUUAAAACUUUGAACUCUAAUAUCUUAUAUUGGACAAUACAUUUCUGGACUAUAUUUGACCUUAUCUGAAAGGUCUGCUUCUGAACUAUAUUCUUCACUUGUUUUUAUUGAUUUUAUAUAUUUCUUUAAUAAAGAUAUUAGAUAGAUUCUGGCCUCUGUGUAAGGUUAUUGGUGCUCUGCAGCCUGGGUCCUGACAGUAGUUCAGGGAGGAUAGCUCAACUGAGCUUCAGGUCAUCGCUAUUUCUUCCCUGGGCCUCCUUAAAAUGUCUUAAUGUUGCUGGUGUUGGGAGAAAAGAAAGUGUUGGCACCUGUCUUUCCUCUAGAGUAGAACAGUUUUAAGAAGCAGUAAACCCGGUCUCUCAUACAAGCAGAAAGGAAAGGAUCCAGAAACUCAAGAGUAGUAACUCUGAUGCGUUUUAAAAUCCAGGUCUUAAUGAAGGAUAUGGAAGGGGAGCCUGCAGGAAGUCCCCCCAGUAAUAGUUUGGAGGAGGAUGUUUUCUUAACCCCAUUGCUGAUACCCAGGCUCCCUUGAAGGGAAAAAAAGGAAAGGCUCCCAGGGAGCCAAGUUCCCUAUUGUGGGCCAAACAGAGAUGGUUUUUUUUUUUUUUUUUUUUUGGGAUGCUGAACAAAAAUGCCCAUUCGGCAGCAUGCCCAUUUUCGGGAGGUGCUGGAAAACGGAUAUGGGGGGCUUCUGGUAACCGGCAAGCAGAAACAGAUAGCAAUUCACCUGAAAUGCACAAGCCUAGUACCAACAUUUGUGUGUUGUAACAUGACAUUGAUCACAGUGGCAUUGUCUGAUAUACAUAUAUUGCUGUGUUAACAAAUCCUGUGACAAAGAACGUCCUUUCUAUAAAGUCUGUUUAUGCCUCCCCUUUCCUUUUCCUGUUUGUAUUCUGUCUACUUGGAAGAUUGUUUAGCAACAUUAGCACAGGAUGUAUGAUGGAAGGCUGGAGAAACACAGACUUUUGUGUUGAGUUGUAAUAACUUAUAUGCAGUAAGUAGUUCUAUAAUGCAUAAGCUGAGAAAGAAUGGGGUUCUGCUCCAGCCAACCCAACUGUAAUUAUUUGUGCCUGUCUAUAAACAGCAGCAGCCUCCAGAAUUUCUAACUGAGCAUGCAUCAUCAUCAAUCAAAACAACAAACCAUAAAGGGAGGGCAGAUAAGCUACCUCAGAAAUAUUUAUGCCCACCCCCCAAAAAAUCUUAGAUUUUAAAAGCAAGGUUCAAUUAUUUUUUUUCAUUUACCUGACCUGGUUGUUUCAUUUCACAUAUUCAUGUGGUAAGUUUGGGAUAAAAAAUGCCCUUUUUCUGGUGUAGGAACCUAGCUUUUGUAGUGUAGGAACCUACCUAUGUUUAUUGUUUUAUCCUUAAUGUAUUGUGUUUUGUGCCUUUAGUUUGAUAUUAUGUAUAUUGUUUUUGUGUUGUGAGCCACCCCGAGUCCCUUUGGGGAAAGGGAUGAUGAUGAUGACCUUUCUAUGCUAUUUUUGCCUCUGGUACCAAUUUUUUUAAAAAGAAUUUAAUGUCUAAGAGUACAUCAACUUAUUUCUCCCCUCCCCCCCACACACAAGAUUUGUGUGAUGUGUUCUCAUUCCAGGAUAGGUAUGUGCUGCAUUUGAUUAAAUGUAAGGGAAAACUCAGUACUUGCUCAACUUACAUCUGCUACUGUUUUUAAAACCAUUCAAUUCAGAGAUGGACAAUCUGAUGCCCUUCAGAUGUUUGCACCACAACUCCCAUCAACCAAGCAGCAUGAUAAAGGAUUGAAACUAUAGGCAGUGUUGUCUAAAACAUUUGGAAGGGAAUCAGGUUUUCUCCCUAGUACUCUUUCCAUCUUGGUAUUGCAAAAUGAAUAAUGUGAAAUCUGGUAUUGUGAGAAGCAUGCAAUGUCAAAGAAUUAAUAGCCUUUGUGUUCCUUACUUUUAGGAGAUCCAGUUACACCCUUCAAGUCACUGAGUCAGCACUGGAAAACCUAGCUCUGCUUCUUCCUCCCUUUUCAUACUAUAAUCUGUUGAAAGAUUGAGCAGGGAAUUUGAUGCAGCAUAAUAGCCAAGUUGAAAUGCAUACAUAUCCCGUAUUGUUGAGGCAUUAACUUAAUCAACCAAGGUGUUCAGUCAAACUGGAGUCGGUGAAUAAUUGUCAAAACAGUGUCUGCUUCCUUGAAAAAGUUGAUUUCUGUGCAAAACAACCAUCUGUGAAUUAUGUGCAGAACAAAUCCCAACUGGUGAAGAUUAUUACCACUUUAGGAAGAACGUCCUGAUGCACAGAACCAGCCAAGAAAAGGAAACUCUGUGGAAGUAUUUUCAAGAUGGUAUGUAUUAUUUAAUACAUUGCUUUGAAUCAACUAGCAAAAGAAGGCCACAUUAUAAAGCAAGCCAGCCAAACCCAAGCUAUUAAAAUUGAUCAUACACUUUCAUGUUCUCCUAAUUCUUCUGCUUUACUUACAAAAUAAACAUCAACAUAAAUAUUUAAUAUACGAGCUACAGCAUGAAAAGGGCUAUUGUCAGAACUCUAUAGUAAAUACAUGUUUUCAAAUUACUGCUCAUGAUGUGGCCUGUUUCAGGCUGAGACAAAUAAUGUUAAUAGCACAUAUUCAUUGGGAAACAAAUCUGUUCCUUGCAUAUAAGCUUAAACAAAUAUUUUUCAGCAACAAAAAUGUAUUCAGAUUACACCUAUUGAAAUAGACUUAGCAUUAACAUUAAAUGCUGAAAAUGCAUGUUCUUUAAAGUAUGAAAUAAGGAACUACAAACAACAAAAACUACACAUGAAAUUACCAAAUGGAUGCAUAAUAAAAGCAAAAAAGAAAAUGGCAUAAAACUUACCACACACACAUCUAAACUACCUAAAUGUAGAAGGAAAAGGGGAAAGACUUCCAACUAUAUUUUGGGUGGAUAUAUUUUAACUCUUUAACUCCCACCUCUCUCCAUUUUAUCUAAAGAUAUCCUUCUGUCUAUAUGACUCAACCAGUGCCUGUUUUGAAUACGAUAAUUUGCAGAUCCAUGAAGUAACUGAUUUUUCUUUCAUUUUUCCCCUGCUCUGUCCCUAUUGCUAUUUGGGAAUUUUCCACAUCUAACCACCAGUAGACUGAACAACAAUAACAGAUAUAUUUCUCAAUAGGCAUGUAUUUACUUUGUUCAGGCGCAUUCAGGCACACUUCUCCAUUUCAAUGAAGGAAGAUGGGACAAGAUAAGACAAGUGCUAAUCUUUGUUAAUGAAGACU